rnacentral:rRNA from 1 species
CCUACGGGUGGCAGCAGUAGGGAAUCUUUCACAAUGGGCGAAAGCCUGAUGGAGCAACGCCGCGUGCAGGAUGAAGGCCUUCGGGUUGUAAACUGCUUUUAUAAGCGAGAAAUAUGAUGGUAAUUUAUGAAUAAGGAUCGGCUAACUACGUGCCAGCAGCCGCGGUCUUACGUAGGAUCCGAGCAUUAUCCGGAGUGACUGGGUGUAAAGAGUUGCGUAGGUGGCAUAAUAAGUAGCUAGUGAAAUCUGGUGGCUCAACCAUUCAGACUAUUAGCUAAACUGUUAAGCUCGAGACCGUUAGGGGUAACUGGAAUUUCUAGUGUAGGAGUGAAAUCCGUAGAUAUUAGAAGGAACACCAAUAGCGUAGGCAGGUUGCUGGGACGGUUCUGACACUAAGGCACGAAAGCGUAGGGAGCAAACGGGAUUAGAUACCCCGGUAGUC